GGGGGUGGAUCGGGCCUGGUGGCCUGCCUGGACUUCAAAUCCAGCUGGCGCGCGGGGGAGACCCCGGGCGCGGUGGGUUCGAUUCCCACACACUCCC
rnacentral:tRNA from 1 species